rnacentral:rRNA from 1 species
GACGAACGCUGGCGGCGUGCUUAACACAUGCAAGUCGAACGGAAAGGCCCUGCUUUUGUGGGGUGCUCGAGUGGCGAACGGGUGAGUAACACGUGAGUAACCUGCCCUUGACUUUGGGAUAACUUCAGGAAACUGUGGCUAAUACCGGAUAGGAGCUCCUGCUGCAUGGUGGGGGUUGGAAAGUUUCGGCGGUUGGGGAUGGACUCGCGGCUUAUCAGCUUGUUGGUGGGGUAGUGGCUUACCAAGGCUUUGACGGGUAGCCGGCCUGAGAGGGUGACCGGCAACAUUGGGACUGAGAUACGGCCCAGACUCCUACGGGAGGAAGCAGUGGGGAAUAUUGCAAAAUGGGCGGAAGCCUGAUGCAGCAACGCCGCGUGCGGGAUGACGGCCUUCGGGUUGUAAACCGCUUUCGCCUGUGACGAAGCGUGAGUGACGGUAAUGGGUAAAGAAGCACCGGCUAACUACGUG